rnacentral:rRNA from 1 species
CUCCAAGUUACUAAGAGCCAACGGUGGAUGCCUUGGCGCCUGGAGCCGAUGAAGGACGUGGGCGACUGCGAUAAGCCAUGGGGAGCUGUCUACCAAGCUUUGAUCCAUGGAUCUCCGAAUGGGGAAACCCGGCAUCGGAAAUGCGAUGCCACCCGUGCCUGAACACAUAGGGCACGUGGAGGGAACAAAGGGAAUUGAAACAUCUCAGUACCUUUAAGGAAAGGAAAGCAACAGCGACUCCCUAAGUAGCGGCGAGCGAAAGGGGAUCAGCCUAAACCGAUCCGGUGAAAUAGCCUGGCGGCGUUGCCGGAGUCGGGGUUGUGGGAACGAAACGAAGGUGCGCCAGAACCUUUAAAGGAGUUACAAAGCCGACUGCUAGCCGAACCGGCUGGAAAGCCGGGCCACAGAGGGUAACGGCCCCGUAGGCAAAAGCGGAAAGCCUCCUUUUCGUCUCCCGAGUAGCGCGGGAUCCGGGAAAGCCCGUGUGAAUCUGCGAGGACCACCUCGUAAGGCUAAGUACUACCAGGCGACCGAUAGCGAACUAGUACCGUGAGGGAAAGGUGAAAAGUACCCCGGGAGGGGAGUGAAAUAGAACCUGAAACCGUUGGUUUACAAGCAGUCAAAGCGGAUUUUCCGCGAUGGCGUGCCUUUUGAAGAAUGAGCCAGCGAGUUACCGUAGGUGGCAAGGUUAACCGAUAAGGGGAGCCGAAGCGAAAGCGAGUCCGAAUAGGGCGUAUAGUUGCCUGCGGUAGACCCGAAGCCGGGUGAUCUAUCCAUGGGCAGGCUGAAGCGGGGGUAAGACUCCGUGGAGGGCCGAACCCACUCUGGUUGAAAACAGGGGGGAUGACCUGUGGAUAGGGGUGAAAGGCCAAUCAAACUCGGUAAUAGCUGGUUCUCCCCGAAAUGUAUUUAGGUACAGCGUCUAGCGUUUUGCAUCGGAGGUAGAGCACUGGAUGGGCUAUGGGGCCCCACAGGCUUACUGAUCCCAACCAAACUCCGAAUGCCGGUGCUUAAGAGCUAGGCAGUGAGACCACGGGGGAUGAGCUUCGUGGUCGAGAGGGAAACAGCCCAGACCGCCGGCUAAGGUCCCCAAGUUCCGACUAAGUGGAAAACGAUGUGAGACUGCCAAGACAGCCAGGAGGUUGGCUUAGAAGCAGCCAUCCUUUAAAGAGUGCGUAAUAGCUCACUGGUCGAGUGGUUUUGCGCGGACAAUGUAACGGGGCUAAGUCGGACACCGAAGCCGCGGAUGGUCCUUAUAGGGCCAUGGUAGGGGAGCGUCGAGCCUGCAGUGAAGCCAAAGCGUAAGCAUUGGUGGAGCGGACUCGAGUGAGAAUGCUGGCAUGAGUAGCGAAAGAGGGGUGAGAAACCCCUCCGCCGAAUGUCUAAGGGUUCCUGGGCAAGGCUAAUCCGCCCAGGGUGAGUCGGGAGCUAAGGCGAGGCCGAAAGGCGUAGUCGAUGCACAACCGGUCAUUAUUCCGGUACCACCGACUUUGCGUUAUAAAGCGAUGGAGGGACGCAGCAGGGUAGGUGAACCCGGGCGUUGGUUGCCCCGGGGAAAGCGUGUAGGGUGAGGUCCAGGCAAAUCCGGUCCUCAUAUAAGCCCGAGACGUGAUUCCGAGCCGCUUUUAGGCGAAGUCAUCGACCCCAUACUGCCGAGAAAAGCUUCUAGCGAGCAAAGCGGUGCCCGUACCCCAAACCGACACAGGUAGACAGGUAGAGAAUACCAAGGCGAUCGGGAGAACUGUGGUUAAGGAACUCGGCAAAUUACUUCCGUAACUUCGGGAUAAGGAAGACCCAAGUAGGGUAAGGGGACUUGCUCCCUCGAGCCCGAGUGGGUGGCACAAACCAGGGGGAAGCGACUGUUUACUAAAAACACAGCAGCGUGCCAAGUCGACAAAGACGAUGUAUACGCUGUGACGCCUGCCCGGUGCCGGAAGGUUACGGGGAGGGGUUAGCGAAAGCGAAGCUCCGAACCUAAGCCCCGGUAAACGGCCGCCGUAACUAUAACGGUGCUAAGGUAGCGAAAUUCCUUGUCGGGUAAGUUCCGACCCGCACGAAUGGCGUAACGACUUCCCCACUGUCUCAACCACAGACCCGGCGAAAUUGAAGUACGAGUAAAGAUGCUCGUUAGCUGCAUCAGGACGGAAAGACCCCGUGGACCUUUACUGUAGCUUGAUGUUGAGCUUUGGUUCCGAUUGUGUAGGAUAGGUGGGAGCCUGUGAAGGCGAGGCGCCAGCUUCGCCGGAGGCGUCGUUGAAAUACCACCCUGUCGGUGCUGGGGCUCUAACCAUGGUCCGUGAAUCCGGAUCGGGGACAGCGUCAGGUGGGCAGUUUGACUGGGGCGGUCGCCUCCUAAAGAGUAACGGAGGCGCCCAAAGGUUCCCUCAGACUGGUUGGCAAUCAGUCGUAAAGAGUGCAAUGGCAAAAGGGAGCUUGACUGCGAGACCCACAAGUCGAGCAGGUGCGAAAGCAGGGCAUAGUGAUCCGGCGGUAGCGUGUGGAAGCGCCGUCGCUCAACGGAUAAAAGGUACCCCGGGGAUAACAGGCUCAUCUUGCCCAAGAGUCCAUAUCGACGGCAAGGUUUGGCACCUCGAUGUCGGCUCGUCGCAUCCUGGGGCUGAAGUAGGUCCCAAGGGUUGGGCUGUUCGCCCAUUAAAGCGGUACGCGAGCUGGGUUUAGAACGUCGUGAGACAGUUCGGUCCCUAUCCGAUGCAGCCGCAGGAAACCUGAGAAAGGCUGUCCCUAGUACGAGAGGACCGGGACGGACGUAGCUCUCGUGUGCCAGUUGUCCCGCCAGGGGCACGGCUGGUUAGCGACCUACGGAAGGGAUAAGCG